GCAAUAAAACGUUUCACUGGGCACUCUCUCAAGUUGUAAUGGUAUUCUGGUGUGAUAAGAAGUGCAUGAAAUGAAAAUCUCAAAGUAAACAUAGGAAUAAAUGCUUACGAAUUAAGACAACCAUUUAAGAACCACUGGAUUGGAGGAAUAGCUGCUAGGUGUCUGGCUCAAAUACACACGCCCACAAUAGUGGCGGCAUCAAUAUACAAACGAAACCAUACCUGACAACUGACAACUUCCAAUUAACAUUAGUUACAUAACAGCGCAUUCUUUGGGCGUAUGCUGCACUGCUGUUUGAUUACUUUCGCAUAACUCAUAUAAUAUAUAUGAUUGGCUAGUUUGCAAAG